AAUGGAAUGGUUGGAUAGUGUGUAGAAGAUAUAUAUUUAACUUUUUAAGAAACUGCCAAACUGUUUUCCAAAGUGGUUAUACCGUUUUAUAUUCCCAUCCGCAGU
rnacentral:pre_miRNA from 1 species